rnacentral:lncRNA from 1 species
UAGACCGGAGCUGUUCCUAUUCGGCCAUCUUGGCUCCUCCCGAUUUUUUAAGCAGAAUUUUUCUUUUCUUAUUGUUGAGUUUUAAGUAUUCUUUGUAUAUUUUGGAGAACAGUCUUUUAACAGGGUGUAAACGGGAUGGCAUCCAUUUGAUUUUCAUUAUUCUGGGACAAAGUUGCUUCCGCCUUCCUUUAAUUAGGAAGUCCUGCAAAGAAUAUCAUGAGUCGCUCUCAAUCCCAACCAGCUGGGUAUUUUAAACACCAAGCACAUUACUCUUCCUCUGGGACAGAUUUCUUUGUAGUCAAUUAGGACUGCCCAUUAAAGUGGCAGAAUAAGCACAGUGCCUGCUGCUAUGAUGUGAUGGGCCGUGGGAAACACUUUUCGCCUAAAAUCACCUCCUGCAAUGGCCUACUUAAGGCAUUUGAUUCACCUAUGUUAACAAAUUCAACCUUAGGAUUCCAAGACCACUUCCCAUCCUGCUGGGGUUUGGCUGGCUCAGAAAACUGGUGCACAGAUCUUCUUUGUUCCUCCAGCUGAACUCAAAUACAAACCUUCAUCCUGAUGAGAUAACGGGCAAUCUGUGUUUUGUCCCACUCCAUUGCUGUAUAUGCAAUCAAGGGGGCUUGUACGUCUCUAUCUUUUGCCAUGGGACAAAGUGCCUUCCUGGAGAAGUUGUUUUUCUCCUAUUGACACCAGGAUUGGCCUAAGGACUUGUGUUGGUCAAGGAAAUAGAUGGAGUUUCACCAUGUAGCCCAGGCUGGUCUUGAACUCCUGGGCUCAAACAAACCACCUGCCUCAGCCUACCAAUGUGCUGGGAUUAUAGGAGUGAGCCACCACACCUGGCGUUAUCUGAGCUUCUUAGUAUGUGCUCCAUCCAUGUAUCAUUCAGAGGUGGAACUCACAUUUCUUCCAAUUUAAGCUGCACCUCCUCAGUGAUGUGGCCCCCCUAAUAGUCCUCUACACAGUGACCCCUCCUCCUUUGGAAUCGUUAUUGUCAUUUGGAACCAUAGUAGCUUGUCUCCAAAGAUGGCCUUCCAGUAACUCAUGCUUCCUGAUGAUCAGGCCCUAAAUAGGUUGUCCUUGUGACUUCCAUCUUGACCCAUAGAAUGUGGUGGAAGUAGCAUUGGAUGACGUCCAAGGUUAGUUCAUAAAAAGCCUUGUGGAUUCUUCCUCAGCCUCUAGAAACACUUGCUCUUGGAGCGUAUGCUUUGAGGAAAUCCAAAUGUCAUAUGAGAUGCCUGAGACCACCUAUCUCAGACUAUUGUGGGAGAGACUACUGUGCUGUGAAGAAGUACAAAGUAGCCAUGUGAAGAUACCAUACGGAGAAAGACAGAUGCCUAGGUAGCCCCUAGCUGUGCCAGCCAUCCCAUCAGAAUCACCACACAUAAGAGUAAAGGAAUCAUUGUGGAUGUCCAGCCUAGUCAAGCCUGUAGAUGAUUCCAGUUCCAGUUGCCAUCUGUCAGUAACUGCCUGAGACCCAAGACAAGAACCACCCAGCUUAGCCCAGUAAAUCCACAGAAUCACGUGUUAUCAUGAUAAUAAAUUGUUUUUUUAAGCAACUAAGA